ACCGUUUUUGGCAAUGGUAGAACUCACACCGGUAAGGUAAUAGGACCCGGUGGUUCUAGACUUGCCAACUAUGGU
rnacentral:pre_miRNA from 1 species